rnacentral:rRNA from 1 species
CAAACUCCUACGGGAGGCAGCAGUGAGGAAUAUUGGUCAAUGGUCGGCAGACUGAACCAGCCAAGUCGCGUGAGGGAAGACGGCCCUACGGGUUGUAAACCUCUUUUGUCGGAGAGUAAAGUACGCUACGUGUAGCGUAUUGCAAGUAUCCGAAGAAAAAGCAUCGGCUAACUCCGUGCCAGCAGCCGCGGUAAUACGGAGGAUGCAAGCGUUAUCCGGAUUUAUUGGGUUUAAAGGGUGCGUAGGCGGCACGCCAAGUCAGCGGUGAAAUUUCCGGGCUCAACCCGGACUGUGCCGUUGAAACUGGCGAGCUAGAGUGCACAAGAGGCAGGCGGAAUGCGUGGUGUAGCGGUGAAAUGCAUAGAUAUCACGCAGAACCCCGAUUGCGAAGGCAGCCUGCUAGGGUGCGACAGACGCUGAGGCACGAAAGCGUGGGUAUCGAACAGGAUUAGAUACCCUGGUAGUCCACGCAGUAAACGAUGAAUACUAACUGUUUGCGAUACAAUGUAAGCGGUACAGCGAAAGCGUUAAGUAUUCCACCUGGGGAGUACGCCGGCAACGGUGAAACUCAAAGGAAUUGACGGGGGCCCGCACAAGCGGAGGAACAUGUGGUUUAAUUCGAUGAUACGCGAGGAACCUUACCCGGGCUCAAACGCAGGGGGAAUGCCGGUGAAAGCCGGCAGCUAGCAAUAGUCACCUGCGAGGUGCUGCAUGGUUGUCGUCAGCUCGUGCCGUGAGGUGUCGGCUUAAGUGCCAUAACGAGCGCAACCCCUACCGCCAGUUACCAUCGGGUAAUGCCGGGGACUCCGGCGGCACUGCCAUCGCAAGAUGCGAGGAAGGCGGGGAUGACGUCAAAUCAGCACGGCCCUUACGUCCGGGGCGACACACGUGUUACAAUGGCAGGUACAGAAGGCAGCCAGUCAGCAAUGACGCGCGAAUCCCGAAAACCUGUCUCAGUUCGGAUUGGAGUCUGCAACCCGACUCCAUGAAGCUG